UACGUAGGGAGCAAGCGUUGUCCGGAAUCAUUGGGCGUAAAGAGCGCGUAGGCGGUCCGGUAAGUCGGUUGUGAAAACUGGGGGCUCAACCCUCAGACGCCGACCGAUACUGUCGGGCUAGAGUCCGGAAGAGGCGAGUGGAAUUCCUGGUGUAGCGGUGAAAUGCGCAGAUAUCAGGAGGAACACCAAUGGCGAAGGCAGCUCGCUGGGACGGUACUGACGCUGAGGCGCGAAAGCGUGGGGAGCGAACAGG
rnacentral:rRNA from 1 species